rnacentral:lncRNA from 1 species
ACCUCCAGAAACGAGACCACAACUUGUCUGUAAAAAGCUUUCACAAAAAAUUAUUCAUAACACUAUUAACACAGCAGUAUUUUUUUUUUUUGUGGCGGU